rnacentral:lncRNA from 1 species
CCUGAGUUCAUGCAAUCUUGUCUAACAAUUGAUGAUCCAAAUUGGAAAAAAAUUAUUUGCAAAGAGAACAAUUUCUUAAUGAAAAAAUUCCAUACGGAAGGUAAACAGUUAAAUUCCUUUGAUGUCUCCCCUUUGUAUUUUGUGUUUGGUAAAUAUUAUUCCAAUUCUUAGUCAAAGAUUUGUUACCAUGUUCUGAUUAGUUUGCUAACUAUCAGAUGCGAGUCCUUUUGCUUAGGAUGGGAGCAGGAGGAGAUGGAGUCGAUACUGUUGACUUCCUGCCAAAUCUAUGGUUGGGUAGCCAUUCCCAGGUCCACGCAUGCAUCUUCGUUGGGUUUUACCUACUUUGGUUUGUUGAUUCUUGUGUGUUUUGCGAGUGAAAUGGUGCUGUGAGAUCACUCUCGUAAACGACGGACAAUGCUGAAUGUUAAUAAUGUGGAUUUAUUAGUUUAAUAUGGAGCACCUUACAUCCUUGCAGUGAUGAACACUGGAUUUAUUAGUUGUGUACUAUAUACUGUAUAUGGCAUGUAAUAAUGUGGAAUGAUGAACACUUGAUGUAUUUGUUUCUAUAUACUUAUAUGAUUUGUAACACCGUGGAAUGCAUGAUGAACCCAACUGUUUGAUUCC